CAAGAACUGCAGUAGUAAUGAGUUGUUUCUUCAUGUUAUUUUGAUAACGUGGUUCUGUAGCUGAAUUUGUAGUUCAUUCAUGCCAGUAGUUCAUUUCUAGGAACUUAUUCUUGCUGAUGUUCUUUGAGAGUCGUCGGUAGUGGAUUGCAUUUGUGCUUGUCAUCUUAUGUUCUGAUAUUUCUUGGCAUGGCAGAUCUCUAUAAAUUAGGCGGAAAUAGAUUUUCGUCUGAGUUCUGUUACAAGGAUCAGUGAUAUAUCCCCUACCGGGUUGAACAAAGCUAUGGAUAUGCAAGUAGAGGCAGAAAGGAGAAAGAGUGCUCAGGUUCUCAAGUCUAGAGGUGCUAUGUUGAAUCAGGCCAAUGACACGAAGGAAGCUACUCCCAGGUGUUCAUUGUGCUGAUUAAGAGCAGGGCUCACUGGAUGUCUGCGAGUAGAUUAUCCCCAGAUAAGUAUAGGAUGCAUCUGAUUAUUUUAACUAUGGUGAAUACACCGAAUUAUUAGAUUGAGUAUUUUUCUUGAGUUUCGACAGCUGGGGCAUUGGUCUCUCUUAUGGGGUAACAGACCGGAUCAACGACAUAGAUAAGGUUCUACAGGAGAUUAGGCCCUAAUCUAUUGGUCCAGGUUUUUCAUUUCUCUCUGCUCUCUUGGUUCAGGUGUGUUCUGGAAGAAGAUAAAUUCUACAGAAUAUUAGGGCCUAAUCUUGAUGUUCUAAAUGGAACGGUUAGAACUUUUUCGUGUAUGAUCCGCAUUGCAAAGUAGGGAUCUUUCUCUUUGUUUAAAGAAAAAAAAUACUCUUGCUGUCCUCCCAUGUUCCUGGAUUUUUCUUCAUCCUUUUUGGGCAUUUUCUGCAAAACCUAAUUCGUAGUUUUUGCAUUACCUUCAUGGUGUGGAGUCCCUGAUCAAGGCCAGGGCGCCGUGGAUCUCAUGCUCAAGGUAAGGAUGAAAUCAGUGCAUGUAUGUUUCUGGAAAUGUGUUUAAAAUAACCAAACAGUGUAAUAAUUUAUGCCAUGAUUCAACGAGUUUUCUUCCAUUAAUGGGUGUCGAUUUAGUAACAAUGAUAUUAAACACAAUUUACAGCUAUAUUUUGAAUGUAGUUUAUCUCAUUUGGCUCUGUUCUUGGAGAUAUAUUACCAACAGGUAGAAAUGUUAUGACCAUAUUAUCAUUUCAGAUUGCAUAUACUAUAUCCUACAAGAAUCCUUUUGAUGGAUUUGGUAUUCGAUUCGAAACCAAAGAACAUACAUUCUUACUUUGUACAUGCGUUUUUUAAAGAUUUUCAGUUGUUUGCUAUCAUAUCUAAACAAAUGGAUGCUUAUCUUAUUUUGUCCAGAGAGAGUGCUAUACCUGUGUUGCAUAGAAAACUCACUCCUUCACUGGAGGAAUGAGCGGUUGAGGAGCUCCUCU